UACGUAGGGUGCGAGCGUUGUCCGGAAUUAUUGGGCGUAAAGGGCUCGUAGGCGGUCUGUCGCGUCGGGAGUGAAAACUCAGGGCUUAACCCUGAGCCUGCUUCCGAUACGGGCAGACUAGAGGUAUGCAGGGGAGAACGGAAUUCCUGGUGUAGCGGUGGAAUGCGCAGAUAUCAGGAGGAACACCGGUGGCGAAGGCGGAUCUCUGGGCCUUACCUGACGCUCAGGCGCGAAAGCUAGGGGAGCGAACAGG
rnacentral:rRNA from 1 species